rnacentral:lncRNA from 1 species
UUUAACAAAUUCCAUAUGUAGUGUCUGCAUAUUUAAAUCAGAAGGCUUGAGGCUCUUGAGUAUUAGGCAGCUGUUCUAAUGGGUACACAUUGAUCUUCUAAAUCCUUCCACAUAUAACCACCAGGACUUCCCAUUUCAUAUAUGAACAAUCUGAACUUGUUAGGGAAAAUUUUCUUUAAUCACAAAGAUAAAGGUUUUUAGGACAGAAUCUUUAUGACAUUCUGAAUUCUGCCCAUCACCUGGAAAUACAUGCACAUGCUCUUUAUAAACACAUGUGCCCAUACACAAACACACUUA